UACGUAGGCAACAAGUGUUGUUCGGAGUUACUGGGCGUAAAGAGUGUGUAGGCGGCCUUCUGUGUCUGGUGUGAAAUCUCCCGGCUUAACCGGGAGGGUGCGCCGGAAACUGGGAGGCUGGAGCGUGGGAGAGGAAAGCGGAAUUCCCGGUGUAGCGGUGAAAUGCGUAGAUAUCAGGAGGAACACCUGCGGUGUAGACGGCUUUCUGGACCAUUGCUGACGCUGAGACACGAAAGCGUGGGUAG
rnacentral:rRNA from 1 species